GGAUCUAGAAGAGGGGCCUAUCCUCGGU
rnacentral:sRNA from 1 species